rnacentral:rRNA from 1 species
UGGUCGAGCGGACAAGAAGAAGAGCUUGCUCCCGGAUGUUAGCGGCGGACGGGUGAGUAACACGUGGGUAACCUGCCUGUAAGACUGGGAUAACUCCGGGAAACCGGAGCUAAUACCGGAUAGUUCCUUGAACCGCAUGGUUCAAGGAUGAAAGACGGUUUCGGCUGUCACUUACAGAUGGACCCGCGGCGCAUUAGCUAGUUGGUGGGGUAAUGGCUCACCAAGGCGACGAUGCGUAGCCGACCUGAGAGGGUGAUCGGCCACACUGGGACUGAGACACGGCCCAGACUCCUACGGGAGGCAGCAGUAGGGAAUCUUCCGCAAUGGACGAAAGUCUGACGGAGCAACGCCGCGUGAGUGAUGAAGGUUUUCGGAUCGUAAAGCUCUGUUGUUAGGGAAGAACAAGUGCGAGAGUAACUGCUCGCACCUUGACGGUACCUAACCAGAAAGCCACGGCUAACUACGUGCCAGCAGCCGCGGUAAUACGUAGGUGGCAAGCGUUGUCCGGAAUUAUUGGGCGUAAAGGGCUCGCAGGCGGUUUCUUAAGUCUGAUGUGAAAGCCCCCGGCUCAACCGGGGAGGGUCAUUGGAAACUGGGAAACUUGAGUGCAGAAGAGGAGAGUGGAAUUCCACGUGUAGCGGUGAAAUGCGUAGAGAUGUGGAGGAACACCAGUGGCGAAGGCGACUCUCUGGUCUGUAACUGACGCUGAGGAGCGAAAGCGUGGGGAGCGAACAGGAUUAGAUACCCUGGUAGUCCACGCCGUAAACGAUGAGUGCUAAGUGUUAGGGGGUUUCCGCCCCUUAGUGCUGCAGCUAACGCAUUAAGCACUCCGCCUUGGGGAGUACGGUCGCAAGACUGAAACUCAAAGGGAUUGACGGGGGCCCGCACAAGCGUUGGAGCAUUGUGGUUUAAUUCGGAAGCACGCGAAGAACCUUACCAGGUUCUUGAACAUCCUUCUGACACCCUAGAGAUAGGGCUUUCCCUUCGGGACAGAGUGACAGGUGGUGCAUGGUUGUCGUCAGCUCGUGUCGUGAAAUGUUGGGUUAAGUCCGCACGAGCGCACCCUUUGAUCUUAGUUGCAGCAUUCAGUUGGACUCUAAGGUGUACUUGCGGUGACAAACCGUGAGAAGUGUGGUGUACGUCAAUCUUCUUGUGCCCUAUAGUGACCGGCCUCACACUUGGCUUGCA